UACGGAGGGUGCAAGCGUUAUUCGGAUUUACUGGGCGUAAAGCGCGCGUAGGCGGUUUGGUUAGUCUGAUGUGAAAGCCCACGACUCAAUCGUGGAAGUGCAUUGGAUACUGCCAGACUGGAGUACAAGAGGGGUGAGCGGAAUUCCAGGUGUAGAGGUGAAAUUCGUAGAUAUCUGGAGGAACAACAGCGGCGAAGGCGGCUCACUGGAUUGUUACUGACGCUGAGGCGCGAAAGCGUGGGGAGCAAACGGG
rnacentral:rRNA from 1 species